UACGUAGGGGGCAAGCGUUGUCCGGAUUUAUUGGGCGUAAAGAGCGUGUAGGCGGCCUGACAGGUCUGCUGUGAAAACUCGAGGCUCAACCUCGAGAUGUCGGCGGAAACCGUCUGGCUAGAGUCCGGAAGAGGAGAGUGGAAUUCCUGGUGUAGCGGUGAAAUGCGCAGAUAUCAGGAAGAACACCUAUGGCGAAGGCAGCUCUCUGGGACGGUACUGACGCUGAUGCGCGAAAACGUGGGGAGCGAACCGG
rnacentral:rRNA from 1 species